rnacentral:rRNA from 1 species
UACGUAGGGGGCAAGCGUUGUCCGGAAUCAUUGGGCGUAAAGCGCGCGUAGGCGGCCCGGUAAGUCCGCUGUGAAAGUCCAGGGCUCAACCCUGGAAAGCCGGUGGAUACUGCCGGGCUAGGGUCCGGAAGAGGCGAGUGGAAUUCCUGGUGUAGCGGUGGAAUGCGCAGAUAUCAGGAGGAACACCAAUAGCGAAGGCAGCUCGCUGGGACGGUACUGACGCUGAGGUGCGAAAGCGUGGGGAGCAAACAGG